rnacentral:rRNA from 1 species
UACGUAGGGUGCGAGCGUUAAUCGGAAUUACUGGGCGUAAAGCGUGCGCAGGCGGUUCGUUAUGUCCGAUGUGAAAGCCCCGAGCUCAACUUGGGAAUGGCAUUGGAAACUGGCGGGCUGGAGUGUGGCAGAGGGGGGUGGAAUUCCACGUGUAGCAGUGAAAUGCGUAGAGAAUGUGGAGGAACACCGAUGGCGAAGGCAGCCCCCUGGGCCAACACUGACGCUCAGGCACGAAAGCGUGGGGAGCGAACAGG